rnacentral:rRNA from 1 species
CCAAUCGAACCCGGAGAUAGCUGGUUCUCCUCGAAAUAGCUUUAGGGCUAGCCUCAUACGAGUCUUGCGGAGGUAGAGCACUGAAUUCCUAAGGGGGCGUCAAAGCUUACUAAGGGAUAUCAAACUCCGAAUGCCGUGUAGAUGAUGUAUGGGAGUCAGACGAUCCGAGAUAAGUUGGGUGGUCAAAAGGGAAAGAGCCCAGACCAACAGCUAAGGCCCCAAAAUGUGUGUUAAGUGGAAAAGGAUGUGGGAUUUCGAAGACAACUAGGAUGUUGGCUCAGAAGCAGCCACACAUUCAAAGAGUGCGUAAUAGCUCACUAGUCGAGAGGUCCUGCGCCGAAAAUGUCCGGGGCUAAAACUUACCACCGAAGCUACGGGCUUGCGUAAGCAAGCGGUAGGGGAGCGUCGUAAUCGGGCUGAAGUCGUACCGUAAGGAGCGGUGGACUGAUUACGAGUGAGAAUGUUGGCAUUAGUAGCGAGAUGUAGGUGAGAAUCCUACAGGCCGAAUAUCUAAGGUUUCCUCAGGAAGGCUCGUCCGCUGAGGGUUAGUCGGGACCUAAGCCGAGGCCGAAAGGCGUAGGCGAUGGACAACAGGUUGAUAUUCCUGUACCACUACCAUCGUUAUUAUCGAGGGUGUGACGGAGAAGGAUAGUGUGUGCUAGCGAUUGGAAAUGCUAGUCUAAGCGUUUAGGCAGUUACGGUAGGCAAAUCCGCUGUAAUGUUAAUGCUGAGGCGUGAUGGGGAAAGCCCUUGAGGCUGAAGUACAUGAUUCCAUGCUUCCAAGAAAAGCAUCUAGAGAGAGAAGUAGUGCCCGUACCGCAAACCGACACAGGUAGAUGAGGAGAGAAUCCUAAGGCCGGCGGAAGAAUUGCAGUUAAGGAACUAGGCAAAUUGACCCCGUAAGUUAGCGAGAAGGGGUGCCUACGAGAGUAGGCCGCAGAGAAUAGGCCCAAGCAACUGUUUAGCAAAAACACAGGUCUCUGCUAAAGCGCAAGCUGAUGUAUAGGGGCUGACGCCUGCCCGGUGCUGGAAGGUUAAGGGGAACACUUAGCGCAAGCGAAGGUGUGAACUUAAGCCCCAGUAAACGGCGGCCGUAACUAUAACGGUCCUAAGGUAGCGAAAUUCCUUGUCAGGUAAGUUCUGACCCGCACGAAUGGCGUAAUGACUUGGGCACUGUCUCAACUGCAAAUCCGGCGAAGUUGUAGUGCGAGUGAAGAUGCUCGCUACCCGCGAUUGGACGGAAAGACCCCGUAGAGCUUUACUGUAGCUUAGCAUUGAAUUCCGGUAUUGUCUGUACAGGAUAGGUGGGAGACUGGGAAACUAGGGCGUCAGCCUUAGUGGAGUCAUCCUUGGGAUACCACCCUGACAGUACUGGGGUUCUAACAGGAUGCCAUGAAUCUGGUGACUGGACAUUGUUAGGUGGGCAGUUUGACUGGGGCGGUCGCCUCCUAAAAAGUAACGGAGGCGCCCAAAGGUUCCCUCAGAACGGUCGGAAAUCGUUCGUAGAGUGCAAAGGCAGAAGGGAGCCUGACUGCGAGACCUACAAGUCGAGCAGGGACGAAAGUCGGGCUUAGUGAUCCGGUGGUACCUCGUGGGAGGGCCAUCGCUCAACGGAUAAAAGCUACCCCGGGGAUAACAGGCUGAUCUCCCCCAAGAGU